rnacentral:rRNA from 1 species
UACGUAGGGUGCGAGCGUUGUCCGGAAUUAUUGGGCGUAAAGAGCUCGUAGGCGGUGUGUCACGUCGGCCGUGAAACCUGCAGCUUAACUGUGGGCGUGCGGUCGAUACGGGCAGACUAGAGUUCGGCAGGGGAGACUGGAAGUUCUCGGUGUGAGCGGUGAAAUGCGUAGAUAGUCGAGAGGAACACCUGCGGCGAAGGCGGGUUGCUGGGCUGACACGUGACGUGGAGGCGCGAAAGCUAGGGGAGCGAACGGG